rnacentral:rRNA from 1 species
GUAGGGAAUCUACCACAAUGGGCGCAAGCCUGAUGGAGCAACACCGCGUGUGUGAUGAAGGGUUUCGGGUCGUAAAGCACUGUUGUAUGAGAAGAACAGCUUGAAUAGGGAAUGAUUUUAGUGUGACGGUACCAUACCAGAAAGGGACGGCUAAAUACGUGCCAGCAGCCGCGGUAAUACG